rnacentral:rRNA from 1 species
AACGCGAAGAACCUUACCAGGCCUUGACAUCCCGUGCUACGCUCAGAGAUGGGCGGUCCCCGCAAGGGGCGCGGAGACAGGUGCUGCAUGGCUGUCGUCAGCUCGUGUCGUGAGAUGUUGGGUUAAGUCCCGCAACGAGCGCAACCCUCGCCUUUAGUUGCCAUCAUUCAGUUGGGCACUCUAAAGGGACCGCCGGCGACAAGCCGGAGGAAGGUGGGGAUGACGUCAAGUCCUCAUGGCCCUUACGGCCUGGGCUACACACGUGCUACAAUGGCGGUGACAGUGGGCAGCGACCACGCGAGUGGAUGCUAAUCCCAAAAAACCGUCCCAGUUCAGAUUGCACUCUGCAACUCGGGUGCAUGAAGGUGGAAUCGCUAGUAAUCGCAGAACAGCAGGCUGCGGUGAAUACGUUCCCGGGCCUUGUA